rnacentral:siRNA from 1 species
GGUCGGGUAUUUUGGGUUCGGGU